GCAGCAGGCGCGCAAAUUACCCAAUCCUCGAUCGGGGAGGUAGUGACGAAAAAUAACAAUGCCGCAGUCGAAUAGACUCGGCAAUUGGAAUGAGUACAAUCUAAAUCCUUUAACGAGGAACAAUUGGAGGGCAAGUUCUGGUGCCAGCAGCCGCGGUAAUUCCAGCUCGAAUAGCGUAUAUUAAAGUUGUUGCAGUUAAAAAGCUCGUAGUUGGAUAUCAGGAGAUGAUUCACGGACUUCUCAAUGGAGCAACCGUGUUUUCGCUCCUUUUUGUACCGUUUCAUCGUUGAUGCACUUUAUUGUGUGUCACGUUUGAACGGCCUUUUUACUUUGAGAAAAUUAGCGUGCUUAACGCAGGCAUGAAAGCUUGUAUAAUGUUGCAUGGAAUAAUGAAAUAGGACCUCGGUUCUGUUUUGUUGGUUUCCGGAAGCUGAGGUAAUGAUUAAUAGGGACAGACGGGGGCAUUCGUAUUGUGGUGUUAGAGGUGAAAUUCUUGGAUCACCGCAAGACGAACAACUGCGAAAGCAUUUGCCAAGAAUGUUUUCAUUAAUCAAGAACGAAAGUUAGAGGUUCGAAGACGAUUAGAUACCGUCCUAGUUCUAACUAUAAACUAUGCCAACUGGGGAUCCGUCGAUUGCCAUUUGUAGGCUCGGCGGGCACCCUACGGGAAACCAAAGUGAACAGGUUCCGGGGGGAGUAUGGUUGCAAAAUCGAAACUUAAAGGAAUUGACGGAGGGGCACACCAGAAGUGGAGCCUGCGGCUCAAUUUGACUCAACGCACGAAAACUUACCCGGCCCGAACACCGUGAGGAUUGACAGAUUGACAGCUCUUUCUUGAUUCGGUGGGUG
rnacentral:rRNA from 1 species